rnacentral:miRNA from 1 species
UAUGGCUUUUUAUUCCUUUU